CAACACGCUCUAUUCCAAAGCAGUGCUGCCCAUUGUUUCCUAAAUUAUUUCACGUAACUUGGCCCUGUUUGAAAGUUUGAAAGACCACAUUCUCGUCAAAAGGGAAAAACAGAAUGGAUAUGUGAAAAUGAUCACAUGGAAUUGGAGAGAGGGGCCCCUAGGGACUUCACAGAUGCAUCAGACAUUAGCUUAAAGACAGACUUCGUGGCUUGGGCAGGUGUCCCCACUCCCACCCCCACCCAAGAUGCUGCAGGGAGGAGGGGUGGGUGUCAGAAAAGUGAGAUCCUCCUGGCAUCAAAAGUGCUGAAACUGAGCCAUGUAAUCGCAGGGGUUUAACAGUGUCAGCGAGGAGGAAGAGGCAAGCAUCCCUAAGCCUUCAACAUCUUUAUGAUCCCAGCGGAAGACUCAAAAGUAUUCCCAGGGAGAGGGGAUGAAAGGCAAGGCCGUGAAAAACGUUCUUCGGAGAACAAGAGCAGCCACAGUUUGCCCGCCGACCCCGGUGCGCCGCACCGGCGGUAUCCGGGAGGGCAGGGGAGGCGGGGUCAGCGAGGUUGUGAUUGGCCGUUGACGCGGGCCAUGAGCAAAGCCACCUUGACCUCAUUGGAUGGGAGGAAGGUGCCCCGCGCUGGUCUGACGUCGGCGGGUGAAUUGGCAGGGGCCUCACCUCGGGGUUGGAGGGCACCGGCGGCACACUCGGCUGCAGGGGGAGCCCCCGACUCCGUGGGCCGCCGCGUGAUGGGCGCACCUGCUGGAGGGGAUGCGGAGGGCAGGGGGCCUCAGGAGAGCACCUGACGAGGGGUAAGACCUUCACCCCACCCGGAGAGGGGACUGGGGAAGGGAGGGCGGCACCUGUUUCUCGGGAGGCAGACACCAUGACCCCUCUUGUCUUACCUCAGCAGCUAGGCUCACCCAUCCGAGGACGACACAUGCUCCACUCCCCCCCGCCCCCACUUUUAUCUGCCAUGUAGGGGUCAAAGGUUAGAGGAAACCAGAACAAGAAAACACAGUCUGAUCGGGCGGUGAAGAGUAACAAGCGCGCAUACACUGUACAUCGCUGUGAAUCACAUGUUCACUUGAGAUGCGAAGUUUAUAGAACCAGUCGACCUUUGGCCUAGGUGCAAACAUCCUAAAGGAACACCA